rnacentral:rRNA from 1 species
AGUGAACGCUGGCGGUAGGCCUAACACAUGCAAGUCGAACGGCAGCACAGUAAGAGCUUGCUCUUACGGGUGGCGAGUGGCGGACGGGUGAGGAAUACAUCGGAAUCUACUUUUUCGUGGGGGAUAACGUAGGGAAACUUACGCUAAUACCGCAUACGAUCUACGGGUGAAAGCAGGGGAUGUUCGGACCUUGCGCGAUUGAAUGAGCCGAUGUCGGAUUAGCUAGUUGGCGGGGUAAAGGCCCACCAAGGCGACGAUCCGUAGCUGGUCUGAGAGGAUGAUCGGCCACACUGGAACUGAGACACGGUCCAGACUCCUACGGGAGGCAGCAGUGGGGAAUAUUGGACAAUGGGCGCAAGCCUGAUCCAGCCAUACCGCGUGAGUGAAGAAGGCCUUCGGGUUGUAAAGCCCUUUUGUUGGGAAAGAAAAACAGCAGGUUAAUACCCCGCUGUUCUGACGGUACCCAAAGAAUAAGCACCGGCUAACUUCGUG